ACCGGUAAUAACAGAUGAUGCCUAUCAACUGUUUAAAAGAUGGGUUCUGCUAUCACUCUUGGGAUGGGACCCUGCGGUGCAUUAGCUAGUUGGUAGGGUAACGGGCCUACCAAGGCGAUGAUGCAUAGCCCGAGUUGAGAGACUGAUCGGGCCACAUUGGGGACUGAGACACGGGCCCAAAACUCCUACGGGGAGGCAGCAGUAGGGAAUCUUCCACAAUGGACGCAAGUCUGAUGGAGCAACGCCGCGUGAGUGAAGAAGGGUUUCGGCUCGUAAAAGCUCUGUUGUUGGUGAAGAAGGACAGGGGUAGUAACUGACCUUUGUUUGACGGUAAUCAAUUAGAAGUCACGGCUAACUACGUGCCAGCAGCCGCGGUAAU
rnacentral:rRNA from 1 species